AUUCCAGCUCCAAUAGCGUAUAUUAAAGUUGUUGCAGUUAAAAAGCUCGUAGUCUGACCGUUGUCCUGGCAUUGAGCGUCCGUGGUUACUGAUCAUGUGUACGCGAGGUGCUGGACACUACCUUCGGAGGAGCGUUCGUGCUUUUAACUAAGUGCGUGCGGGAUUCCGAUAGUUUACUUUGAGAAAAAUAGAGUGUUCAAAGCAGGCGUUUGCCUUGAAUACAUUAGCAUGGGAUAAUGAAAUAGGACGUUGGUUCUAUUUUGAUGGUUUACGGACCGACGUAAUGAUUAAUAGGGACAGUUGGGGACAUUUAUAUUCCAUGGCUAGAGGUGAAAUUCUUGGAUUCAUGGAAGAUAAACUACUGCGAAAGCAUUUGUCAAAGAUGUUUUCAUUG
rnacentral:rRNA from 1 species